CGGCCAUGAGCCACCACACCCAAGAACUUAUUACCAUUUUUUUAAAAAUCAUAAUGGGCUUGUUAAAUGCUUACAUUAAUGUUUAUUUUUAAAAAUGUUAUCUGUGACCUUUUAGCUUUUCAUAGCACUUCUCGUGUGAGUAUAUAAAAAAGGCCCUUUAGUCGUGGGGGAGAAGCGGUUAUCCCUUUCAGCAGAGGGAGAUGGAGGAACAGGCCCUGGUGGGUCUGAGCACAGGCAGUCACCCCAGCCUUGGUGCUUGCUUAGGUCUGUUCUCCGUUCACCGUAGCCGCAUCCACUCUCAUUGUCAGCUUAAAAAUAAGCUUUUUCCUCUUUCUAAUCAGAACAGUUAGUUUGUUAACCAUCACGUUAAGGUAUCGAGAAUGAUGGCUUUCAGGCCUCAGAUAUGACACAAGUAAUAAAUGCAGCUGACCCUGAACCACAUAGGUUUUGAGCUUCGAAGGAUCACUUACGUUAAUUAUUUUCCAACCAAACCCUUACUGAAAACACGUGGCUUUGUGGAGGGCCGACGUUUCCUACAUGCGGUUCCAUAGGGUGGCCGUGGAGUCCUGUGGAUACGUAGAUUUGGGUAAACGCGGGGGGUGUUCUGGAAUCCAUGUCCCUGUGUAUACAGAGGGACAACUGCAGCUUUUUAAAAGUUUGUGUCCUGCCUUACCCUAAAACGGCUCCAAGGUGGAUGCAAAAUUAUUUCAUUUUUUUGAUUUUCUUGGUGGGAUAUUGAUGUUUAUUCUUCAGUGUCUAAAAUCCUGAGUGAACAGAGUUACCACUUCAGGAACAAAGCCAGUCUGGAAACACAUACUGAGAUAUCCACCUCUUCUUCAUGGUUUCACAAAAGGCCAUGAUCAUAUUUUAUUCAGUUGAACUGUAGGAAACUGCCAGUAUUUGCUGGUUUUGGCCUACAAAAUGGCAAGUGCGUACGAUUUUAAAAACAAAGGCUUCCUGGAUGGGGAAAAUAGGAAUCGGUAAGAACCUGAAGUUGUCUGUCAUGGCCUCUGAGUCACAGGUAAAUAAACCUGCGUGAGGGGAAGUUGGUUGUACAGUAUUUUCCUUCUGUUUUGAGACUGUCAGAAAAAGGUCAGUUCCAUUGCGUUGGGCCCCUUUGCCUCACCUUUGCUGCAUAGGGGAUUUGCCAUUAUACCUCUUGGUUCCAGUGCCCAAGAGGCUGAUGCCACAUAGAAGACCUGCAGGUCGGUGGAUGUGAAACAGGCAUCGGACACGCUGUGCACCUUGGGACGCAUCUGAGAAGUGCGUGCUUGCGGCAGGUCUGAGCACAAUUUCUCCCAGCGAAGUCGUGAGAAAUAGAAGGAAAGGUGGAAUGAAGAUGUGAUUGAGGAAAGUGUGGUGUGGUCUUCGACCUUAUUUUGCCUUGGUUGGUGCUCAAGAACUCCACCUGACCUCAGAGCUGAGCGUUUCUGCCAGGAAGUCCUGCCUUUUAUCCUGCCUCGAGGCCUGUUGAGACACUCCAAGAAGCUUCAUUAACAAAUUGCCUUUUCCUUUUACAGCAGUUGGAUAUAUUUGCAGUAAAACAAAGGAAUAACCCCCCAAUAUGGUGAUGAAAUGCAUUUAAGUAUAGAUAACAUUCAGUCUUGAAGGGCCUGGGAUUUUAAUCAUCUUUGGGUCAUGUAACAAGUGGUGUCGGUGAUUAAAAUCUCCUGACAGCUUUGUUCUGCCACGUUCCUCAGUUUUGAAUGAUGAUCUUCCUGGUUGUACCUUGGAGGGGCGUUUGUGUCAGUAGAGAGCAGAGUGGUGGUUCCCAGAGGCUGGGAAAGGACAGAGGUGAGGCCCCUGAAGGACACUGGUCUUCCUGGUUUAGGGGUUUGGGGCUCAGCCACCUUCCUGGGUCCGUGUAAAUUAUACCCAGGAUCAUUUUCACUCGCCCCACUUUAGUUGAGCAUUGGAGCUUCAGGAUAUGUGUGCCCACGUCACCUGGGCCGUGAUCCUGGAGUUGGGUGAGACUGAUUCCCAGGUUUAUAGCAUUACUCUGGGAUUAUUGAAAACAGAAGCACUUGAGGCAUUCAUAAUGCUAUUUCCUGAACAUAAUUUAUGUUCAGUUCUUCAGAAACAUUUAUCUGAGGAAGCAUCUAUAACUUUUAUUUUCUGCCACUCAGUGCUAGAAAGAACUGUGCAACACUCAAGUGAGUGGCAUUAUUCCUCUCCCUCCACCAUGCAAGCAAGAUUGAAGGUACCUCUGGCUCCCCUCAAUCUUCUCAUCUGCAGGGUGCCUGGCGUGGCAGUGUGCUGCCUUCCGUCUUCUUUUUGGGGAGAAUUAGUUGUGUUUAUGUGUACUGCUCAGCUCAGCGCAGUUGUGUGGGUGAGGAGCUUGGAUGCUAGGUGACCCUCCCAGGCCUGCCUCCCACCUCCCUAGGCCUUGUUCUAAACUGACAGAUAAACAGUGUGUUUUGGAAGAGGACAGCAGCAGGGCAGGAGAGAGUUUGUUCAGACUUUCUCCUUGCACUGACGUUUGAGCCUUCAUCCAGCUUGGGCACUUCUACAGAGCUGCGUUUGUGUGUUGCAAACCAUUCCCUCCCAGUAACCGUGCUUUCAGAGGUUUGGAAAUGUGACUUAACUCAUCUUCAAUUUAAAGCGUACUAUUAAAUUUUAGUGUUGAAACUGAUGUAUUUUAUGGCCUUUAUUUGAUUUCUCUUGAUUUUUUUUCCCCCCAUAUGAGACAUGGCAUCUUAAGGGAGACAGCCUGGUGUUGGCCGCCUUUCCUAAGGAUGGAAGUGAAUUCUGAAAGCCCUUUAUGUAGGCAGCGAAAUAAUCAGGGAACCAUUAUUAUAGCUAUGCCUGUCCAUGUAAAGCGAGCACGACUCAUAAGCAGAAAAAAGUGCAGCCCGGGGGCAAGGUGAGCCCUAAUGCUGCCUGUGCCUCACCUCCCUGCCAUGAGGAACGCAAGUGCAAGUGCAGGUGGUUGAGUUAGCCUCCAAGCCCAGCCUGCGUCCCCCUCACAUCCCUCUGCAUCUGCAGGGGCACAGGCCGUGCUGCCACCCCUCGCUCAGUGCCAGGGCUGAUGCGUCAGGAACGGGGUAGUGUCCGCCCCUUGCUCGGUGCCAGAGAUGAUCUGUCAGUAUCCCUCGUGCUCAUCUGGUCCUCAUGUCUUCAUCACCAACCUCCUGCUGGUAACAGGCUUGUUAUUACCUUGGUAUGGGUAAUAACAUACCCAUACCAACGUAUGUAAUAACAUACCCAUACCAAGGUGUUGUGGGGCGGUGCUCAGUCCUCCGAGGGAACUGGCCCUUAGCCGAUUCAUAUUCAACAGGAUCGGGAAAUGGGUUCUUGUUCCAUGUCCUGGAUCCCAGGAAGCCCUUGCCCUGGACCCUGUAAUGACCGGGGUCUUCCUGAGAAACACUGGUGCCACUGGAACACAGCCCGACCCCCUCCAGUUUCUCCGCUUUGUAACUGCACUUGUGUUUAGCAGGUCUUCCAGGACUUAGACGCUGCUUGGUGUGAGCCAGGUUUUGUGUGGAAAGAGGACAGAUCCGAGCCGGCAACCAACCAGCCGAGAACCAUCUUUUACGCUUCCAGAUUCUGUGUCCAAAAACUCACCCGUGGACAUUGAGGGUGAUGCAUUUCUGCCCCAAGACAUCUGUGGACUCAGCUGGAGGGAUGGAAAGGAUGUGGAGCCUCUUCACUCCUGGCCUGGGCUUGGACCUGCUGUGCAGCCUCUCAGUGGCACCAGGGCCCCCUUGUGUCACAGUGGCCUUGGGUUGGUGGCACUGCCCCAGGAUGUCCCAGGCUUCAUGAUAGUAGGGCCUGCUUGUGCCAUGGCAGCCUCGGGAUGGUGGCACUGCUCCAGGGUGUCCCAGGCUCCAAGGCCAGUGUUCCGUCCAGCGAAGGGAAGUUGUACUGUAAGGUCUAGUCUCGGAAGGUGCCUGGGGUCCUAUCCUUCAGAGCGGUCCUGCACUCACCACAAAUCAAGCCAGGGGAGGCCCUGCCAGAAUUUGCAGCUGUGUUUCAGGUUGUUCCACAAGGCCUCUUUUAUUUUGGGCUAGUCAGGUAUAUAAUUCUUAUUCUCUGGUUUUUUUAAGACAGGCAAAAAAAAAAAAAAACCUUUUUGUUGCCCAGGCAGUGGUGUGAGCAAAGCUUACUACAGCCUUAACCUCCCAGGCUCAAGCGAUCCACCUGCCUCAGUCUCCUGACUAGCCAGGACCCACAGGCACAUGUUCCACAUGUCCUCAUGCCUGACUUAUUUUUGUAUUUUUUGUAGAGAUGGAGUUUUACAAUGUUGCCCAGGUUGGACUCAAACUCCUGGACUUAAGCAGUCCAGCUGCCCAAGCCUCCCAAAGUACUGAGAUCACAGGCAUGAGCCACCGUGCCUGGCCAAGUGUGUUUCUAAUUUCAAAAUUAAGAGGACCUAGAGUCAGUUAAUUAUGUCUCUACUGGAACAUGCUGCUUAUAGUACAUUAGGAAAAAUCCAGAACUUGGUAAAGGAGCUGGACAGACACAGCCCUUCGAGGUUGUCUGAUGAACCCCUGUGGUGUUUAACCAUGUGGAAGGAUGUACCGUGUCAGACUCACUGUUGUCGGCGGGCUGAAGCCCAGGUUUCAUGAGGUUAUGUGUCAACUUGUAGUCCUUUCUCUGGCAGAGAUGCGAGUGACUUCUGCUCAGUGAGAGGCUCAUCUCAGGGACUUCAUGGCCUGAGGGACGGCAGCCUGUUUGAGCUGAUCGAGCAAUCUCGCGCUACCCUUAUUUUCUGAAACGCCUAUGAGUUUCACACUUUAAAGAUGAGUUCUCAUACGGUCUUUAAAGCGGCUUCAUGCCCGCGCUCCUUGGAAUUUCUGAAGCUGCUGAGUGUAGAAAGCACUGAGGAGGCUGUGCUGCCACCCCUGUGAGUCUUCCAGACAUGAUCCUCUCCCCUUGGCGAGGCAGUGUCCAUGACACACCGAGGAGGCUGUGCUCCUGUCCCCCGUGAGCUUUCCAAGUGUCCUCGUCUCCCCUCCAGGGGGACAGGAGGAACCUUUCAAACCGUUCUUAAACUUGUUUUCAUGUCUUUGUUUUAACAGAUUUCUUUGCAUCUUCUCCCUUAUCCAGAAGUGAGGGUGAACGCUGAGUUAUUCACGGGAGUCAAGAAACCACACGCAGCCCAAAGUGACGUUUGUUUCCCUGAAAUGAUUUGUGUGUGUUCACCUUAAAAUGCAAUUCAGUAAAACAGGUGUGUUUUGAGGAAUGACUUUAAA